rnacentral:rRNA from 1 species
UUGAUCCUGCCGGACCCGACUGCUAUCAGAAUAGGACUAAGCCAUGCGAGUCAACGUAGCAAUACGUGGCAUACGGCUCAGUAACACGUAGUCAACAUGCCCAGGGGACGUGGAUAACCUCGGGAAACUGAGGAUAAACCGCGAUAGGUCAUAAUAUCUGGAAUGAUUUCUGGCUAAAAUCUAUAUGGCCCCUGGAUUGGACUGCGGCCGAUCAGGCUGUUGGUGAGGUAAUGGCCCACCAAACCUAAAACCGGUACGGGCUCUGAGAGGAGAAGCCCGGAGAUGGGCACUGAGACAAGGGCCCAGGCCCUAUGGGGCGCAGCAGGCGCGAAAACUCUGCAAUAAGCGAAAGCUUGACAGGGUUAUUCUGAGUGAUUUCCGCUAAGGAAAUCUUUUGGCACCUCUAAAAAUGGUGCAGAAUAAGGGGUGGGCAAGCCUGGUGUCAGCCGCCGCGGUAAUACCAGCACCCCGAGUGGUCGGGACGAUUAUUGGGCCUAAAGCAUCCGUAGCCGGUUCUACAAGUCUUCCGUUAAAUCCACCUGCUUAACAGAUGGGCUGCGGAGGAUACUAUGGAGCUAGGAGGCGGGAGAGGCAAGCGGUACUUAGUGGGUAGGGGUAAAAUCCGUUGAUCCAUUGAAGACCACCAGUGGCGAAGGCGGCUUGCCAGAACGCACUCGACGGUGAGGGAGGAAAGCUGGGGGAGCAAACCGGAUUAGAUACC